GAUGAACGCUGACAGAAUGCUUAACACAUGCAAGUCUUUGGCGAAGCUGUGCUUGCACAGCCUAGCCAAGGCGGACGGGUGAGUAACGCGUAAGGAACUUGCCCUGCAGUCAGGGAUAACAGACGGAAACGACUGAUAAGACCUGGUAAAGUCAGGCGGACUCAUGUCCAGCCUGAUGAAAAGAGAUGCUGCAGGAGAGCCUUGCGUCCUAUUGGCUUGUUGGUGGGGUAACGGCCCACCAAGGCGAUGAUAGGUAGCCGGCCUGAGAGGGUGGACGGCCACAAGGGGACUGAGAUACGGCCCUUACUCCUACGGGAGGCAGCAGUGGGGAAUAUUGGACAAUUGGGGCAACCCUGAUCCAGCAAUUCUGUGUGCACGAUGAAGGUUUUCGGAUUGUAAAGUGCUUUCAGCAGGGAAGAAAAAAAUGACGGUACCUGCAGAAGAAGCGACGGCUAAAUACGUG
rnacentral:rRNA from 1 species